AAGACUGCAGAUUGCACAGUACAAGCAUUUCGAGGAGUAACAGGAGGAAAACUCUUGCACUAGAAUGAAGUUUGAAGUUGAGCCUCUUCAUCCAUCACCGUACAGUACUUGGACAGUGGGCCAUCGAGCUCUCAUGGGCUACAAUCUGGGCUCUCAUGGUCAGAGCCUACAAGAGGAGACCCACAACGUUUCAGGAUGAACUCAAACAUCCACAGUAAGCUGCUGAAGUCGCCUUCAUGCACCAAACAAAAUGUGACAUUUCACACAACGACAUAUUUAUCAGAUCAAAUGAGAACACAUCAUCACUAAUCCAGGGCAACAUGGACUACUACUCAUAUUGGAAUCCUCCUUUUGCAGCUAUAAAAGGCCAUGUUAGCCUACUAAACUCUAAACAUAAUUAUAAGGAGAAAAAAAAAACUACUUGGCAUGCUUCUGUGCUCAGGUUCAAAAACACCUAAAGAAGAUAUACACCGCCCUCCAGUGGUUGAUGGGAGAACUUUGGGAUUAGCGCGUGGAGCGUGUAGGGACUUUUACUGCAAAACACUGGUGGCUUUACAUAUUACAAACCUUUUAACAGUUUUUACUCUCUUUCACUGAUCUCAUUCUGAUUCUAUCAGCUUGGAGACUAAAUUUGUAGUUAAAAGCAGCUGUUAUCUACACGCACAGUCUAAGAUUCAUCUUGCUGGGACUUGCUCAAGGUCGGUAAUCCUACUCCGAACAUUUCGUCACCUCUGUUUUCACUUAACAAUAUAUUUACUGGUUUAGUAGCUGCAAGCAGGAGCAAGCGCCAAAAAUUCAAAUCAUUUUCACAGCAUUUUAUUUUGAAUACCCAGCAACACUAAUGCAAUGUGUUUCAGCAAGCUGAAUGCCUAAUUGGGAGUUUUCUUGUCAACGCGGGCAGGGAAGAGUUUUGAAAUUGUUCUCUGCCGACACACGCAACACCACUCAAACCUGGAGGCAUGUCCAGUGGAAUCAUCAACUGUCAUGCAAGUUGAAACAAAAUGAAAUCAAAAUUAUCAUCAGAGUGUGACAGAAUAACAGUUUCGAUGUCAUGACGUCCACGCUUUGUGGGCCCAAAGCUCCUGUGCUAUCGUAUAAACGCCAACAUUUCCUCUGUGCUCCGAAUCUGGACUGCCAACCACAUAACUAACAGAGCAAACUAGUUAACAGUAGCUACAGUUGGCAGCAGUUAGUGGAUGCUCUGAUGACAUGCUGCCACCUAUUUGUUUAGACUGGGAACUCAACAGGUGACCAAUUCUUACACAUUGGCGCAAAGUACAGUUCCAUAGAGAAAAAAAAAAUGAUGGAAUUAUUUUCAGAAACAAUUGGCAACAGUUCUCAAAGACAGUUGAUCCCUACAGCAUUAAUCACAACACAUCGGGUAAAAACACUGUGAACCUUUAUUGACAGCAGCAUGUAUACUUUUGUAUAUAUCUGUGAUUACUGUGAACAUUUGCUGAAGCUGAUUAAAAAAGACGACUAGGUGUGAGUGCCUAGCAUUCAUAAAAACCAAAACAUUACACUAAAAACAAUGUAUAAAAAACAAGUUCAUAAACAAAAGGCCAUUGCAUUUGAUUAGAUAAUGUAAAAAAAAAA